rnacentral:rRNA from 1 species
UAGCAUAUCAAUAAGCGGAGGAAAAGAAACUAACAAGGAUUCCCCUAGUAACUGCGAGUGAAGCGGGAAGAGCUCAAAUUUAAAAUCUGGCGGUCUUCGGCCGUCCGAGUUGUAGUCUGGAGAAGUGCUUUCCGCGCCGGACCGUGUACAAGUCUCUUGGAACAGAGCGUCGUAGAGGGUGAGAAUCCCGUCUUUGACACGGACUGCCGGUGCUUUGUGAUGCGCUCUCAAAGAGUCGAGUUGUUUGGGAAUGCAGCUCAAAAUGGGUGGUGAAUUCCAUCUAAAGCUAAAUAUUGGCGAGAGACCGAUAGCGAACAAGUACCGUGAGGGAAAGAUGAAAAGCACUUUGGAAAGAGAGUUAAACAGUACGUGAAAUUGCUGAAAGGGAAACGCUUGAAGUCAGUCGCGUCUGCCGGAACUCAGCCUUGCCUCGGCUUGGUGCAUUUUCCGGUAGACGGGCCAGCAUCGAUUUUGACCGUCGGAAAAGGGUGGGAGGAAUGUGGCACCUUCGGGUGUGUUAUAGCCUCUCGUCGCAUACGUCGGUUGGGAUCGAGGAUCGCAGCGCGCCUUUAUGGUCGGGGUUCGCCCACGUCCGCGCUUAGGAUGCUGGCGUAAUGGCUUUAAACGACCCGUCUUGAAACACGGACCAAGGAGUCUAACAUGCCCGCGAGUGUUUGGGUGGAAAACCCGAGCGCGUAAUGAAAGUGAAAGUUGAGACCUCUGUCGUGGAGGGCAUCGACGCCCGGCGCUGAAGUUUACCGAAGCUGCCGCGGUAGAGCGUGUAUGUUGGGACCCGAAAGAUGGUGAACUAUGCCUGAAUAGGGUGAAGCCAGAGGAAACUCUGGUGGAGGCUCGUAGCGAUUCUGACGUGCAAAUCGAUCGUCAAAUUUGGGUAUAGGGGCGAAAGACUAAUCUAACCAUCUAGUAGCUGGUUCCUGCCGA